rnacentral:rRNA from 1 species
CUUGGUCAUUUAGAGGAAGUAAAAGUCGUAACAAGGUUUCCGUAGGUGAACCUGCGGAAGGAUCAUUAUUGAUUUUUAAAGAUGUGCUGGCACUCCUUCACCGGUUUGCAUGUGCACUCUGCAAAAUCUCCUUCUCUUACCCCACUGUGCACACCCAAGUAGACAAACAGAGUUACAGAGCAAUCUGUGUAAUUCCUGAUUUGCCUAUGUUUUUAUCAAACACCAAUAACAAUCUCAGAAUGAUCUAUAUAGUAAGCUUUUAACAAGCUGAAAUUUAAUACAACUUUCAACAAUGGAUCUCUUGGUUCUCGCAUCGAUGAAGAACGCAGCGAAUUGCGAUAUGUAAUGUGAAUUGCAGAAUUCAGUGAAUCAUCGAAUCUUUGAACGCACCUUGCACCCUCUGGCAUUCCGGAGGGUAUGCCUGUUUGAGUGUCAUUAAUCUCUCAACACAAGAAACUUUGUCUCCUUGUGCUUGGAUAUUGAAGGUUUUGCUGGCGCAAACAACUGUCAGCUCCUUUUAAAUGUAUUAGCAGAGCAGUAUAGGACUGGCCUCGGUUUGAUAAGAAACUUCAUCUAUGCUGUCGCUGGGUUUUCCUCUUUGUGCUCAGCUUCAAAUUGUCUUCGGACUGUCUCUUGAGGCAACAAAAUCUCUAUUGAUCGACCUCAAAUCAGGUAGGACUACCCGCUGAACUUAAGCAUAUCAAUAAGCGGAGGA